rnacentral:rRNA from 1 species
GGUUUCCUUGCGCAACGUUAAUCGACGCAGGGUUAGUCGGCCCCUAAGGCGAGGGCGAAAGCCGUAGUCGAUGGGAAGCAGUUUAAUAUUACUGCACCUCGCGUGAGUGCGAUGGAGGGACGGAGAAGGUUAGGCAAGCCAGGCGUUGGUUGUCCUGGUGAGAGAACUGAGGCAGAACCCUUUGGCAAAUCCGGGGGUUUAAUGUUGAGGUUAAGGACCAGUCCUUUUGGACGAGGUUGCCGAUAUCACGCUUCCAGGAAAAGCUCCUAAGCUUCAGCUCACGAAGACCGUACCGUAAACCGACACAGGUGGGUAGGAUGAGAAUUCUCAGGCGCUUGAGAGAACUCGGGUGAAGGAACUAGGCAAAAUAGCACCGUAACUUCGGGAGAAGGUGCGCCUCUUCUGGUUAAUAGCUGGGGGAGGCCGAAGUAACCAGGCCGCUGCGACUGUUUAUCAAAAACACAGCACUCUGCAAACACGAAAGUGGACGUAUAGGGUGUGACGCCUGCCCGGUGCUGGAAGGUUAAUUGAUGGGGUCAGCCGCAAGGCGAAGCUCUUGAUCGAAGCCCCAGUAAACGGCGGCCGUAACAAUAACGGUCCUAAGUAGCGAAAUUCCUUGUCGGGUAAGUUCCGACCUGCACGAAUGGCGUAACGACAGCGGCGCUGUCUCCACCCGAGACUCAGUGAAAUUGAAAUCGCUGUGAAGAUGCAGCGUUCCCGUGGCAAGACGGAAAGACCCCGUGAACCUUUACUAUAGCUUUACAUUGAACGUUGAGUUCGUCUGUGUAGGAUAGGUGGGAGGCUUUGAAGCGAUGGCGCUAGCUGUCGUGGAGCCAACCUUGAAAUACCACCCUGUCGUGCUUGACGUUCUAACCUAGCUCCGUAAUCCGGAGCGGGGACCAUGUAUGGUGGGUAGUUUGACUGGGGCGGUCUCCUCCCAAAGAGUAACGGAGGAGCACGAAGGUACGCUCAGCGCGGUCGGACAUCGCGCACUGUGUGCAAAGGCAUAAGCGUGCUUGACUGCGAGAUCGACGGAUCAAGCAGGUACGAAAGUAGGUCUUAGUGAUCCGGUGGUUCUGUAUGGAAGGGCCAUCGCUCAACGGAUAAAAGGUACUCCGGGGAUAACAGGCUGAUACCGCCCAAGAGUUCAUAUCGACGGCGGUGUUUGGCACCUCGAUGUCGGCUCAUCACAUCCUGGGGCUGUAGUCGGUCCCAAGGGUAUGGCUGUUCGCCAUUUAAAGUGGUACGCGAGCUGGGUUCAGAACGUCGUGAGACAGUUCGGUCCCUAUCUGCCAUGGGCGUUGGAGAUUUGAGAGGGGCUGCUCCUAGUACGAGAGGACCGGAGUGGACGAACCCCUGGUGUUCCGGUUGUCACGCCAGUGGCAUUGCCGGGUAGCUACGUUCGGAAGCGAUAACCGCUGAAAGCAUCUAAGCGGGAAGCGCGCCUCAAGAUGAGAUCUCCCGGGACACAAGUCCCCUAAAGGAACGAUGAAGACUACGUCGUUGAUAGGUCAGGUGUGUAAGUGCAGUAAUGCAUUGAGCUAACUGAUACUAAUGAUCCGUGCGGCUUGACCAA